rnacentral:rRNA from 1 species
GACGAACGCUGGCGGCGUGCUUAACACAUGCAAGUCGAACGCUGAAGCCCAGCUUUUGUUGGGUGGAUGAGUGGCGAACGGGUGAGUAACACGUGAGUAACCUGCCCCCUUCUUUGGGAUAACGCCCGGAAACGGGUGCUAAUACUGGAUAUUCACUGGUCUUCGCAUGGGGGUUGGUGGAAAGGGUUUUUCUGGUGGGGGAUGGGCUCGCGGCCUAUCAGCGUGUUGGUGGGGUGAUGGCCUACCAAGGCUUUGACGGGUAGCCGGCCUGAGAGGGUGACCGGUCACAUUGGGACUGAGAUACGGCCCAGACUCAUACGGGAGGCAGCAGUGGGGAAUAGUGCACAAUGGGCGCAAGCCUGAUGCAGCGACGCCGCGUGAGGGAUGGAGGCCUUCGGGUUGUGAACCUCUUUCGCUCAUGGUCAAGCCGCAACAAUGGUUGUGGUGAGGGUAGUGGGUAAAGAAGCGCCGGCUAACUACGUG